ACCAUCGAUUCCCACUCCUUGCUUAGCUCCGCCGACCUCGACGGAACUGCUCACCAAGCCCCAAGCUCCGAUCAAGCAUCUUUCCAAGCCGACGUGUCGCGGAGGACCCUGCGACCGGACGCAGAGGUCCCCAAACACCUCUCUACCUACAUGAAUCCACUGAGCGAGGAGUUUCUACGGUGACACAAAGAAGAGAAAUGCAAGUACAUGUCUAUAUGUUGAUGUGAGUUCCAUAGGGUAGAGGAUAGGAGCAUAGGUGAGUCUGAUAAGCAUGCCGAGGAUGUUCGAUUUGGUUGAAUGAGUUGUGAUUUGGGGUUUCCAUGGUAUCCUGGUUUCAUCUCACGAUUCUCCUAUUUUUUGCUAGGGAUAGGAACAUUUUGAUUGAUUACGAUGUUGUAGGGGAUUUCUCUUCAUGGAUUGAGUUUCUGAAUCGAGUUCUUGGUGGUUCCAACUGGUUUCAAUGGUGUCUGCUCCUUUCUGAUGCUCGGUUAGGUUCGAUUGGGUUUGGUGAUUGCUGAUGUUUUACUAUUUGAACGGUGAAGCUCUGGUUUCUUAUGGUAUUGAAAUCGCUGGAUAGAUUUGAAUUGGAAUGAUGAUAUUUUCUCUCCUAUGUGCUUCUUACUAAUGUCGUUGGGGCUCUGUAAUGAUUCCCAGUAGAUAAGCUUCAAUUGGAAUUAGUUGUUGCUGCUUUUGCUUUCCGAAUUGCUAUGGAAUUUGUACGAAUUUAACUUGAUGUUGUUCGGUUUUGUGUGGAUUUAAGUCGAGGAUGAUCUGUUCCGGAAAUAGCUGUGGAGUUUAACUUCAAGUCGAUGUUAUUUAUGUUAUUGCGAGCGAUUAGAGGUUCGUGUUUGUCUCUUGUUUAGCUGCCGACUUUUGAGAAUUGCAUUGGAAAUUCUUUUGUGGAUUCAUGACCCUCUUGGGUGAUCUCGGAUUCCUUUAGUGUCAGUUGCGUGAUUGUGGAUAGAUCUAGUAGGUAUUGAACUGAAUUCAUUAUGGUUCCUACUCUCGGUGAAGGCUCUGAAGUCCUUAUGGUAUUCUUGUUUGCCGGUGAGGGAGACACCUCCCAAGAUAUGAUGGAGGGCAUACGAAUGGAGUAGACGAGGAGGUGGGAUGGACGCAUGACACACUGUCCGGAGGUCUUAGGAGUGCUGUGAAGACUUGUUUUCUCUUGUGUCUUUCUUUAUUUGUAUAAGGAAAUAUACUGGUGGUUCCCCAUUUUUUUUUGGUUGUAAUGCUACUAUUUAUAUUGGGUAUGGUGGUUUAUUUUGAUAGGAUUACUAUUAUGAUUCUUUCACGGUAAAGGUUUAGAGUAUUAGAGUGUAUACUAAAAACCUAGCUUUUUGUAAACAUUUAUUUUGAAAUAAAGAAUCACAUUGGUCAAA